GAGCAAGAAAGUCUGGGGCAGAGCCUUUAUUGUGUUUUCCAUGGAAAAGGCAAGGCAGGGGCUUCUCACUGUUGUGGCCUCUCCCGUUGCGGAGCACAGGCUCCGGACGCGCAGGCUCAGCGGCCAUGGCUCACGGACUUAGCCGCUCUGCGGCAUGUGGGAUCUUCCCGGACCGGGGCACGAACCCGUGUUUCCUGCAUCGGCAGGCGGACUCUCAACCACUGCGCCACCAGGGAAGCCCUGAUCUUCCACUCUUGAAGCACAGAAAUGAAGUCACAUGGACAAGCAAAGGUCCUGGAUUUUUACUCCAUCUAGCCAGUGGAUGGGAAAAGAGAAGACAGAGGACUGCACUAGAGUUUUUAUGGACCAGGUUGGAAGUAGUCUCCAUGAGUUCUGCCCUCAUCUCUGUGGCCUGACUCAGUCACAUGAUCUCACCUAACUGCAAGGGAGGCUGGGAAAUGUAGUCAAGCUGUGUGCCCAGGAGUAAGAGCAGGGGUGGAGGGUCUUGGAGCUGUCUCUACCAUACACGAUUGAAGGAUCUGCCAAACUUGAGCAUGAAAAUAUCCAGACAUCCAGAGACGUCGACUCUUUGGAGCGUCUCAAUGGCACUGGAUUCCUCUACAGAUGCAAUGCCAAGUGUUCUUUAGGUAUUACCUUCCUGGGUCCCACCUAUGGCCUGUGAAGUUGUCCUAAUUUGGACCCUUGGUGAAGUCCAAUUCCAACUUCCUUUUAUUUGGGAAACAAGGGAAUAUUGUCUUCUCGAUACAGUUGUAGAGACACGUUUCAAAUAUAUCAAGCCUGCAUGAUUUCCAAACUAAGGAGCUCUAAGUAGACUUGCAGACAUUCUUUAUUCUCACUCAGUGCACUUCUGUGGCCCAUCUCUAAGGAAGCAGGGAUCCUCUCAGGCAUUUGUUGCUUAAGAACAACGGUCAAACCUAUUAGUCUCAUUCAAUCCUACGGGUGAUGGUUUUAAAAGUCAGCAUAUUCUUUGACACUUGUCCCACUAAUUCCUGAGUAUACACUGUCCUUCGUGACUUUCUUCUAGUGAAUAAAAUGUGGCAGAAAUUAUGCUUUUCGAUUUAUGAGCCACAGAGCUCUGCCUGACUCUCUCUCUGGGUGCCUCCACACUCUGAGAAAACCAAGCACCUCUAAGGAAAGGCCACUUGCAGGCAUUCCAACCACAAGCCUCAGCUGAGCUCUGAGCCAGCAUCAACCACUAAGCGUGCAAGCACGUGAGGUAAUGCUGAGUAGAGCAGACACAGGCUGUCCCGGGCCAAAUUCCAGAUUCAUGAGCAAAAUAAAUGUUGCAGUGUUUGUAAGUCACUAAGUCUUGGGAAUUUUUGUUACGUAGCAACACAACUCAUUUGCCCAUGAGACAGAAAAAUCAUAACUUAGGGGUGCCAGGGUCUUAGGUCUCAUUUGGGGAUUUUUCCCUAAAUAUCUUCUAUAAUACUCACACACGUACUCUUCAACAGAGGUUUAUCAAAUGCCCAUGGGGCAUCUGGCAGUAUUCUGGAUGUGGAAGAUAGAAAGAUGAUGAGACUCUUAGUGACAAGUCUAUGUAGUAACUGAAUGACUCUGAGUCAGUCAACAAGCUCAUGCUUGUGCCCUGUGUUUCCUUAUGUCUUGGAGCGUCAUUUGUCUGACAACAUAUCAGCCUGCUGCUUGGAACGGAUUGUGUACUGUUCACAGAUGGUGUAGAGAAAGGAGGACCACUCAACUCCAAUUACGUUUCCAUCUUCAUUGAGAAGGAUGCACGGGAAAUCGAAGAGCUAAUAAGAGGGACCAAAGGGAGUCUUGAUGACUGUCAAUCUGGUGGGCGGGGGGUAGCCUUUGGAGAUUUGCCAUGGGACUCCAGCCCUCAGACCUGACCAAUUUGACGACUUCUUUUAGGGACUUGAAUGGGGAUGUAGAUAGAAUGCUGACUAUAUUAGGAAGGAUGCAACACUGUAAAUGCCAAAGCAAAGUGGAUCCAGUGGAGAAAUGGACAAAAUAUGAUGAAAUGAACCUGAUCGGGACAGAUGCAGAGCGUUCUCUGCCUGACCAUUAACCCUGCAAGUACAGGGAGACGUCACAGGAUUAACUCUCAAGUGGCAGUGAGAUUUCUGGCUGUAUGAAUAAGCAGAAAGAGUUCAGUCCAGAUUUCCUUUGAAUGUUCGGAAGACAUUUACUUCUGCUUUGUUUACUCCUUGAUGAAAUGCUCAUGGGAGAUGUUCUUCUUAGUCUAGAUAUUCACAUCGUGUACCUUCUCGUUUCAUUAAGAAAACUGCUUGAGCAUCCUCUCCUCAGAGAACGCUCCUUGACCACCCCUGACAUUCUCUAAAGUUUUACCCUGUUUCAUUUUUCUUCUUAGAAUCUGAUGAAAGAAAUUUAUACAUAUUGAGGUAUGGGGAAGUCAUUCUGGUUUACACAUGCGUUAACUUGAAUUUGUGGCCUAUCAGACGUACAUUGUACAUCUGUUUUAAUUAUUGAAGAAAAGGGCGCAUUGACCAGAAGUAAAGAAUGCCCAUGUUAAAAAUAAAGAUUAAAUGCUUCCCUUCCUGGGGCGCCAAUGCUAGUACUUCUUCAAUGAAAUGACUCCCUUCCCAGGUGCCAAGGCCAUACUGACUCGCUGGGUGUGUUCUGAUCUAUUUUUUUUUUUCUGAAAUCUUGAAGGAAUGUAUCCCUGACUUGUUUAAUGUUCUUUGACAAGAUAUAAAACUGUGCUUAAAACUAUGCUUCUCUGGAGUAGUUCCUCAGAGUUAACUGAGAGGCUGUCUUCUGGGCUAUAGUCCUCAGUUUGACUCAGAUAAAACUCUUUUCUAUUCCUAUUAUAGAUUGUUUAUUGAUUAUUUCAUCAACAAAUCUAUCUCUGCCAAACAUGUUAUAAAUUCAUUUCUUUAUUGUCUAUCUCCCACACUAGGAAAUGGGAGACCUCAUUUGUCUCAUUUACCACUGCGUCACCAACGCCAAAUGCAAUGCCUGAUAUAUAAUAAGUGCUCAAUCAAUAUUCUUUGAACAAAUGCAUAAAAUUCUUACCCAAAAUGGAAUAAGCCACUCUGGGGGAGGUGAUGAGUUCCCUAUCCCUGGAGGCAUUCAAUGAGGAGUGGAUAGCCAGGUAUGUGGACUGUGAUAGAGAUGAUUCAGACCUUGGGCUUCAGUAGGUUCACAAGUGAGCAAGACUGCUUCUCCCUAGAUGACCUCCCGGGUCCUUCCUGUGCUGUUAUUCCAGGUGUGAAACAGCCUCCUUUUGGUUGUCAGCUUUGCCAGCCUGAAAAUAGCUGUGUGACUCUCACACCAAGGAGGUAUGGGAAGGAAAGAAAUCAAGAUGCGACGUCUCUGUUUUCCAUACCAUUCAAACACCGUUUCUCUUUGUAGGUCAUGGAGUUUAAGGACUCCCCAAGAUAAAAUGGUGAAGAAAGUAAAGUGGGCCUUUGAGGUUCAGCCUCAGUAAUGAUUGUUCUGCUCUGGAGAUGUGUGGAUGAACCCCUAAAUCAAGCCUGGCAGUUGCUGAGGUUGCCCCAGUGGCUAACAGUCCCAGUACAGUCUGGGUGAGGAAGUUAUUGUUUCAGUUUUCACCUCUGGUGUUAGAGUAACAGCAAUGAGGGCAACUAAUAUUUUUGUGCAGUUGUGGUGUUCCAGGCCCUGAGAGAAGAACUUUAUGUAUUAUCUCACUUAAACUUCACCGAAACACUGUGAAAUGGCACUAUUUUGAUCAACUCUGCUUUACGGGGUAGGCUCUGAGGCGUCGUCAAGGUCACACAGCAGGUAAAUUGUUGUGGCUGGAACUUGAAUCCACGUCUGAUUCCAAACCCUGAGCUCUCAACCACGGCACCACCCUCACCUGGACCUUGCAGCAGGGUUUGUAACCUGCAACUUGGAUCCAGAUGGUUUAUUUAUUUUGUUUGGCCACAUUAAACUCAACAAAAAACUUAAGGCAAUACUCAAACGUUGGAAGAUUUCCAAGUUGAAGAUCUAGCAACCCUGGGUCUAUAUUUUCUCAUGGCAGCACCAUGAUUAGCAGCUGACCCCUAGAAAUGGGGUAUGUCAACUUCACUUUACUGGAUUCUCCAACACUCCCUAAUGUCUUUGCAGCAUGGAGACCAGUGUCAAUUGCCAUGUAUUAUAUAUGUAUGGGUGUUUUACUUAUAAUAGGUAAAUAUUUCUUGUUCCCAGGUCUCUAUCUGUAGACAUCAGCCUUCAAGAUGGCCCCUAACGGUCCUGCCUCUUGUUCUCACUCAUGUCCAACCCUCCUCUAUUGUACAAGGGUUUGUCUGUGUGACCAAUGGCAUGUGGUAGAGGAGAUAGUAUGCCAUUUCUGAGAUUAAGUUAUAAAAGAUGAAUUUCUAUUUGGUGCCUGACUUUCUCUC